rnacentral:rRNA from 1 species
AACGAACGCUGGCGGCAUGCCUAACACAUGCAAGUCGAACGAUCCCUUCGGGGAUAGUGGCGCACGGGUGAGUAACACGUGAGGAAUCUGCCUCGAAGAUUGGGACAACAACCCGAAAGGGUUGCUAAUACUGAAUAAGCCCCCGAUUCGCAUGUUUCGUGGGAAAAGGGCGGGGUAACCUGCCGCUUUGAGAUGACCUCGCGCAUCAUUAGUUAGUUGGUGAGGUAACGGCUCACCAAGGCUACGAUGAUUAGCCGGCCUGAGAGGGUGGCCGGCCACAUAGGGACUGAGACACGGCCCUAACUCCUACGGGAGGCAGCAGUGGGGAAUUUUGCGCAAUGAUCGAAAGAUUGACGCAGCGACGCCGCGUGGACGAUGAAGGUUUUCGGAUCGUAAAGUCCUUUCAGCGAGAAAGAAUGUAUUUAGGAGUAACUGUCUAAGUAUUGACGGUACUCGCAGAAGCAGCCCCGGCUAACUCCGUG